UCUUGGUCAUUUAGAGGAAGUAAAAGUCGUAACAAGGUUUCCGUAGGUGAACCUGCGGAAGGAUCAUUACAAGUGAGGCUACCGAACGCUGGAAACAGCGGUUAGGAGCUUACACCCACCCGUGUUUACAUACUAUUGUUGCUUUGGCGGGCCGUGGCCUCCACUGCGGGCUCUGCUCGUGUGUGCCCGCCAGAGGACCAAACUCUGAAUGUUAGUGAUGUCUGAGUACUAUCUAAUAGUUAAAACUUUCAACAACGGAUCUCUUGGUUCUGGCAUCGAUGAAGAACGCAGCGAAAUGCGAUAAGUAAUGUGAAUUGCAGAAUUCAGUGAAUCAUCGAAUCUUUGAACGCACAUUGCGCCCUGUGGUAUUCCGCAGGGCAUGCCUGUUCGAGCGUCAUUUAACCACUCACGCCUAGCGUGGUAUUGGGGCACGCGGUCUCCGCGGCCCUCAAAAUUAGUGGCGGUGCCGGUGGGCUCUAAGCGUAGUACAUACUCCCGCUAUAGAGUUCCCCCCGGUGGCUCGCCAGAACCCCCAAUUUUUACAGGUUGACCUCGGAUCAGGUAGGGAUACCCGCUGAACUUAAGCAUAUCAAUAAGCGGAGGAA
rnacentral:rRNA from 1 species